GACGAACGCUGGCGGCGUGCUUAACACAUGCAAGUCGAACGGUAAGGCCCUUCGGGGUACACGAGUGGCGAACGGGUGAGUAACACGUGGGUGAUCUGCCCUGCACUUCGGGAUAAGACUGGGAAACUGGGUCUAAUACCGGUUAGGACCACUGCCUGCAUGGGUGGUGGUGGAAAGCUUUUGCGGUGUGGGAGGGGCCCGCGGCCUAUCAGGUUGUUGGUGGGGGGAUGGCCUACCAAGGCGACGACGGGUAGCCGGCCUGAGAGGGUGACCGGCCACACUGGGACUGAGAUACGGCCCAGACUCCUACGGGAGGCAGCAGUGGGGAAUAUUGCACAAUGGGCGCAAGCCUGAUGCAGCGACGCCGCGUGAGGGAUGACGGCCUUCGGGUUGUAAACCUCUUUCAGCACCGACGAAGCGCAAGUGACGGUAGGUGCAGAAGAAGGACCGGCCAACUACGUGCCAGCCGCCGCGGUAA
rnacentral:rRNA from 1 species